rnacentral:rRNA from 1 species
CCCUUAGAUGUUCGGGGCCGCACGCGCGCUACACUGAUGAAAUCAACUGGUUUUAUCGUCCUGGUCCGGCAGGAUUGGGUAAUCCGUUGAACUUUCGUCGUGCUUGGGAUCGGAGCUUGUAAUUAUUCUCCGUGAACGAGGAAUUCCCAGUAAGCGCAAGUCAUCAGCUUGCGUUGAUUACGUCCCUGCCCUUUGUACACACCGCCCGUCGCUCCUACCGAUUGAAUGAUCCGAUGAAUAUCAUGGAUUGAGGAUGCAAGUGGGUUCACCUAUCUUCAUCUUCGAGAAGUGAAGUAAAUCUUAUCAUUUAGAGGAAGGAGAAGUCGUAACA